rnacentral:rRNA from 1 species
GAUGAACGCUGGCGGCGUGCCUAAUACAUGCAAGUCGAGCGAACAGAUAAGGAGCUUGCUCCUUUGAAGUUAGCGGCGGACGGGUGAGUAACACGUGGGUAACCUACCUAUAAGACUGGGAUAACUUCGGGAAACCGGAGCUAAUACCGGAUAACAUUUAGAACCGCAUGGUUCUAAAGUGAAAGAUGGUUUUGCUAUCACUUAUAGAUGGACCCGCGCCGUAUUAGCUAGUUGGUAAGGUAACGGCUUACCAAGGCGACGAUACGUAGCCGACCUGAGAGGGUGAUCGGCCACACUGGAACUGAGACACGGUCCAGACUCCUACGGGAGGCAGCAGUAGGGAAUCUUCCGCAAUGGGCGAAAGCCCGACGGAGCAACGCCGCGUGAGUGAUGAAGGGUUUUCGGCUCGUAAAACUCUGUUAUUAGGGAAGAACAAAUGUGUAAGUAACUGUGCACAUCUUGACGGUACCUAAUCAGAAAGCCACGGCUAACUACGUGCCAGCAGCCGCGGUAAUACGUAUGUGGCAAGCGUUAUCCGGAAUUAUUGGGCGUAAAGCGCGCGUAGGCGGUUUCUUAAGUCUGAUGUGAAAGCCCACGGCUCAACCGUGGAGGGUCAUUGGAAACUGGGAAACUUGAGUGCAGAAGAGGAAAGUGGAAUUCCAUGUGUAGCGGUGAAAUGCGCAGAGAUAUGGAGGAACACCAGUGGCGAAGGCGACUUUCUGGUCUGUAACUGACGCUGAUGUGCGAAAGCGUGGGGAUCAAACAGGAUUAGAUACCCUGGUAGUCCACGCCGUAAACGAUGAGUGCUAAGUGUUAGGGGGUUUCCGCCCCUUAGUGCUGCAGCUAACGCAUUAAGCACUCCGCCUGGGGAGUACGACCGCAAGGUUGAAACUCAAAGGAAUUGACGGGGACCCGCACAAGCGGUGGAGCAUGUGGUUUAAUUCGAAGCAACGCGAAGAACCUUACCAAAUCUUGACAUCCUUUGAAAACUCUAGAGAUAGAGCCUUCCCCUUCGGGGGACAAAGUGACUGGUGGUGCAUGGUUGUCGUCAGCUCGUGUCGUGAGAUGUUGGGUUAAGUCCCGCAACGAGCGCAACCCUUAAGCUUAGUUGCCAUCAUUAAGUUGGGCACUCUAGGUUGACUGCCGGUGACAAACCGGAGGAAGGUGGGGAUGACGUCAAAUCAUCAUGCCCCUUAUGAUUUGGGCUACACACGUGCUACAAUGGACAAUACAAAGGGCAGCUAAACCGCGAGGUCAUGCAAAUCCCAUAAAGUUGUUCUCAGUUCGGAUUGUAGUCUGCAACUCGACUACAUGAAGCUGGAAUCGCUAGUAGUCGUAGAUCAGCAUGCUACGGUGAAUACGUUCCCGGGUCU